rnacentral:rRNA from 1 species
UACCCGCUGAACUUAAGCAUAUCAAUAAGCGGAGGAAAAGAAACUAACAAGGAUUCCCCUAGUAACUGCGAGUGAAGAGGGAAGAGCUCAAAUUUAAAAUCUGGCAGCUUCGCUGUCCGAGUUGUAAUUUAGAGAAGCGAUGCCCGUGCUGGACCGUGUACAAGUCUCCUGGAAUGGAGCGUCAUAGAGGGUGAGAAUCCCGUCUUUGACACGGACUCCCAGUGCAUUGUGGUACGCUCUCAAAGAGUCGUGUUGUUUGGGAAUGCAGCACUAAAUGGGUGGUAAAUUCCAUCUAAAGCUAAAUAUUGGCGAGAGACCGAUAGCAAACAAGUACCGUGAGGGAAAGAUGAAAAGAACUUUGGAAAGAGAGUUAAACAGUACGUGAAAUUGUUGAAAGGGAAACGCUUAAAGUCCAGUCGCGUCUUCUGGGAAUCAGUCUUGCUUCUGCAUGAUGUACUUUCUAGUCGACGGGUCAGCAUCAGUUUUGACCGGUGGACAAGAGUUGGAGGAAUGUGGCACCCUCGGGUGUGUUAUAGCCUCUGAUUGUAUACGCCGGUUGGGACUGAGGAACUCAGCACGCCGCAAGGCCGGGUCUUUUGACCACGUUCGUGCUUAGGAUGCUGGCAUAAUGGCUUUAAUCGACCCGUCUUGAAACACGGACCAAGGAGUCUAACAUGCCUGCGAGUAUUUGGGUGGAAAACCCGAGUGCGUAAUGAAAGUGAAAGUUGAGAACUCUCUAGAGUGCAUCGACGCCCGGACCAGAUGUUUUCUGACGGAUCCGCGGUAGAGCAUGUAUGUUGGGACCCGAAAGAUGGUGAACUAUGCCUGAAUAGGGUGAAGCCAGAGGAAACUCUGGUGGAGGCUCGUAGCGAUUCUGACGUGCAAWUCGAUCGUCGAAUU